UGCCAGCAGCCGCGGUAAUACGGAGGGGGCAAAUGUUGUUCGGAAUCACUGGGCGUAAAGCGCGCGUAGGCGGUAAACUAAGUCAAGGGUGAAAGCCCCGGGCUCAACCUGGGAAGUGCCUUUGAAACUGGUUUACUAGAGUCCGAGAGAGGAGAGUGGAAUUCCCAGUGUAGCGGUGAAAUGCGUAGAUAUUGGGAAGAACACCAGUGGCGAAGGCGGCUCUCUGGAUCGUGACUGACGCUGAGGUGCGAAAGCUAGGGGAGCAAACGGGAUUAGAUA
rnacentral:rRNA from 1 species